rnacentral:tRNA from 1 species
GGGGAUUUAGCUCAGUGGUAGAGCGCUUGCCUAGGAAGCACAAGGCCCUGGGUUUAGUCCCCA